rnacentral:tRNA from 1 species
GGGCUUGUAGCUCAAUUGGCAGAGCAGGCGCCUUUUAAGUGCAAGGUUCUGGGUUCGAGACCCAGCAAGCCCA